ACAAGCGGUGGAGUAUGUGGUUUAAUUCGAUGCAACGCGAAGAACCUUACCUGGUCUUGACAUCCCGGAGACCCUUAGAAAACUAGGGGUGCUUCCAUCUGGAAGAAUCUGGAGACAGGUGCUGCAUGGCUGUCGUCAGCUCGUGUCGUGAGAUGUUGGGUUAAGUCCCGCAACGAGCGCAACCCUUGCCUUUAGUUGCCAGCAGUUCGGCUGGGCACUCUAAAGGGACUGCCGGUGUUAAACCGGAGGAAGUGGGGAUGACGUCAAGUCCUCAUGGCCUUUAUGACCAGGGCUACACACGUACUACAAUGGCCGAUACAAAGGGCAGCGACACUGCGAGGUGAAGCCAAUCCCGUAAAAUCGGUCUCAGUCCGGAUUGGAGUCUGCAACUCGACUCCAUGAAGUUGGAAUCGCUAGUAAUCGUGGAUCAGCAUGCCACGGUGAAUACGUUCCCGGGCCUU
rnacentral:rRNA from 1 species